GACGAACGCUGGCGGCGUGCCUAAUACAUGCAAGUCGAGCGCAGGAAACUGACGGAACUCUUCGGAGGGAAGGCAGUGGAAUGAGCGGCGGACGGGUGAGUAACACGUAAGGAACCUGCCUCAAGGAUUGGGAUAACUCCGAGAAAUCGGAGCUAAUACCGGAUAGUUCAUCGGACCGCAUGGUCCGCUGAUGAAAGGCGCUUCGGCGUCACCUUGAGAUGGCCUUGCGGUGCAUUAGCUAGUUGGUGGGGUAACGGCCCACCAAGGCGACGAUGCAUAGCCGACCUGGGAGGGUGAUCGGCCACACUGGGACUGAGACACGGCCCAGACUCCUACGGGAGGCAGCAGUAGGGAAUCUUCCACAAUGGGCGAAAGUCUGAUGGAGCAACGCCGCGUGAGUGAUGAAGGUUUUCGGAUCGUAAAACUCUGUUGUAAGGGAAGAACACGUACGAGAGGAAAUGCUCGUACCUUGACGGUACCUUACGAGAAAGCCACGGCUAACUACGUGCCAGCCGCCGCAGUAAAAC
rnacentral:rRNA from 1 species